ensembl:lncRNA novel transcript
GCCCUGGGAGCCCCCUCCAGGAGCUCCGGGCAAGCAGCCCCUCAUGGUCCAUGGUGGAACUGCACCCUCAGCACUGGUGAGGGUGUCGCAGGAGCCUGCGAGGAAGGUGGGGUCUCAGUGCUUUUGCACAGGGCGAGUGGAGCUGGAAAUGCAGCCCCCAGUGGUUUCAGUUAUUCCAGACAUCUCACAAAUCCUUAAGGAGGAGGCUGUGUCCCUAGAGUCCUGUAGUCGAGACAUUUGAGAAUUUGGGACCCAGUUGGAAGUGGUUGCGUAUUUCCAUUGUGUGGGAAUAUGUAAAAGGCCCAAGCCUCACCAAGAAGGGAAGACCAGGCUGCUCUCAUCUCAAGGGCCAGUUGCUUCACACACCGGAGUGGGCCUAAUGUUCAAGGAGCUUCUUUCUCCAUUUCUCCCCACAGUGCUUAACGUCUCAGGCCACGGGCUGCCAGCACUCACCUGCCGAGGCCGCCCUGCGGCCUCCCUGUUCUGAGGCCCCUGCCUCUCCCUGAUGAAACUUCCUCCGUGCUAACUUGGCAAGAAAAGGCAAACGCUGCUGUGCUUCCCUUUGCCCUUGAAAAGAAUGAGGUUUAGGGGAGGCUCUGCACAGUCCUGUGCUGUCCGGGAUAGCUGAGCAGAAGCUGUUGAAGCCGGCCUGCUGGACUGAGCUUGGUCCAGCAGCCUAUCCACGUGAGAGCCCUGGCUAUCUGGAGGCACAGGGAGCUGCUGGGCCUGCAGCGUCCCACCUGGAGGGAAAGAACGCACCGCCAAGGAGGCGUGGGCCCUGCAGCCCGUGCUGGGCCGCGAAUCUGGUAGCCACGCUUCUCCGGCGGAACGCGGCGCCCCCUGGCGGCAGAACGCUUGUGGCCGCCGUUACACUCGUGUGGAAACAGCGCCAUCUGCCGAAUGCUCCAUCUCAUUGCUGAUUGGCCCACACAGACUUUGUAAGGAUUUUUCCUUCUGCUUGCUUAAAUCAGGCCAUAUUGAGCCUAUUCAAAGUGUACUUCUGAAAUGAAAAAAGAAAGUGACUGUACAAGAUGUUUUGCUCACUGGAAAAACGAGGAUGAAUGGAAAAUGGGUAGCGAUUAUCUGAAUAAUAUGUGCUUCCUGUCUGUAGUGAGGUGUGAACAUGGUGGGGCCGCACAUUGCA